CAGCAGUCGCCGCGGGAAUACAGAGGGUGCGAGCGUUAAUCGGAUUUACUGGGCGUAAAGCGUGCGUAGGCGGCUUCUUAAGUCGGAUGUGAAAUCCCUGAGCUUAACUUAGGAAUUGCAUUCGAUACUGGGAAGCUAGAGUAUGGGAGAGGAUGGUAGAAUUCCAGGUGUAGCGGUGAAAUGCGUAGAGAUCUGGAGGAAUACCGAUGGCGAAGGCAGCCAUCUGGCCUAAUACUGACGCUGAGGUACGAAAGCAUGGGGAGCAAACAGGAUUAGAUACCCCGGUAGUCCCUGUCUCUUAUAC
rnacentral:rRNA from 1 species